rnacentral:rRNA from 1 species
CCUACGGGUGGCAGCAGUGGGGAAUAUUGCACAAUGGGCGAAAGCCUGAUGCAGCAACGCCGCGUGAAGGAAGAAGGGUUUCGGCUCGUAAACUUCUUUCACCGGGGAGGAAGGAAUUAAGGUUACUUAAUUAAAAAACCCCGGCUAACUACGUGCCAGCAGCCGCGGUAAUCCGGAGGGGGCAAGCGUUAUCCGGAAUUACUGGGUGUAAAGGGUGAGUAGGCGGCAUGGUAAGCCAGAUGUGAAAGCCUUGGGCUUAACCCGAGGAUUGCAUUUGGAACUACCAAGCUAGAGUACAGGAGAGGAAAGCGGAAUUCCUAGUGUAGCGGUGAAAUGCGUAGAUAUUAGGAAGAACACCAGUGGCGAAGGCGGCUUUCUGGACUGAAACUGACGCUGAGGCACGAAAGCGUGGGGAGCGAACAGGAUUAGAUACCCUUGUAGUC